CAGUCGCUGCGGUAAUACGAAGGGGGCUAGCGUUGUUCGGAAUUACUGGGCGUAAAGCGCACGUAGGCGGAUAUUUAAGUCAGGGGUGAAAUCCCGCAGCUCAACUGCGGAACUGCCUUUGAUACUGGGUAUCUUGAGUAUGGAAGAGGUUAGUGGAAUUGCGAGUGUAGAGGUGAAAUUCGUAGAUAUUCGCAGGAACACCAGUGGCGAAGGCGGCUAACUGGUCCAUAACUGACGCUGAGGUGCGAAAGCGUGGGGAGCAAACAGGAUUAGAGACCCCUGUAGUCCCUGUCUCUUAUAC
rnacentral:rRNA from 1 species